ACUGGGUGCGGUGGCGCGUGUCUAUAAUCCCAGCAGCUUGGGAGGCUGAGGCAGGAGGAUUGUGAAUUCAAAGCCAUCCUCAGCAAAAGCGAGGGGCUAAGCAACUCAAUGAGACCCUGUCUCUA
rnacentral:sRNA from 1 species